rnacentral:rRNA from 1 species
AUGAACGCUAGCUACAGGCUUAACACAUGCAAGUCGAGGGGCAUCAGGAUGUAGCAAUACAUUGCUGGCGACCGGCGCACGGGUGAGUAACACGUAUCCAACCUGCCUUUUACUCGGGGAUAGGCUUUCGAAAGAAAGAUUAAUACCCGAUGGUAUAAUAUUUCCGCAUGGGAUUAUUAUUAAAGAAUUUCGGUAAAAGAUGGGGAUGCGUUCCAUUAGGCAGUUGGCGGGGUAACGGCCCACCAAACCUUCGAUGGAUAGGGGUUCUGAGAGGAAGGUCCCCCACAUUGGAACUGAGACACGGUCCAAACUCCUACGGGAGGCAGCAGUGAGGAAUAUUGGUCAAUGGGCGAAAGCCUGAACCAGCCAAGUAGCGUGAAGGAUGACUGCCCUAUGGGUUGUAAACUUCUUUUAUAGGGGAAUAAAAUGAGCCACGUGUGGCUUUUUGUAUGUACCCUAUGAAUAAGGAUCGGCUAACUCCGUGCCAGCAGCCGCGGUAAUACGGAGGAUCCGAGUGUUAUCCGGAUUUAUUGGGUUUAAAGGGAGCGUAGGUGGACAUGUAAGUCAGUUGUGAAAGUUUGCGGCUCAACCGUAAAAUUGCAGUUGAUACUGUGUGUCUUGAGUACAGUAGAGGUGGGCGGAAUUCGUGGUGUAGCGGUGAAAUGCUUAGAUAUCACGAAGAACUCCGAUUGCGAAGGCAGCUCACUGGACUGUUACUGACACUGAGGCUCGAAAGUGUGGGUAUCAAACAGGAUUAGAUACCCUGGUAGUCCACACAGUAAACGAUGAAUACUCGCUGUUUGCGAUAUACAGCAAGCGGCCAAGCGAAAGCAUUAAGUAUUCCACCUGGGGAGUACGCCGGCAACGGUGAAACUCAAAGGAAUUGACGGGGGCCCGCACAAGCGGUGGAGCAUGUGGUUUAAUUCGAAGCAACGCGAAGAACCUUACCAGGUCUUGACAUCCCGAUGCUAUUCCUAGAGAUAGGAAGUUUCUUCGGAACAUCGGUGACAGGUGGUGCAUGGUUGUCGUCAGCUCGUGCCGUGAGGUGUCGGCUUAAGUGCCAUAACGAGCGCAACCCUUAUCUUUAGUUACUAACAGGUCAUGCUGAGGACUCUAGAGAGACUGCCGUCGUAAGAUGUGAGGAAGGUGGGGAUGACGUCAAAUCAGCACGGCCCUUACGUCCGGGGCUACACACGUGUUACAAUGGGGGGUACAGAAGGCAGCUACCUGGUGACAGGAUGCUAAUCCCAAAAGCCUCUCUCAGUUCGGAUCGAAGUCUGCAACCCGACUUCGUGAAGCUGGAUUCGCUAGUAAUCGCGCAUCAGCCACGGCGCGGUGAAUACGUUCCCGGGCCUUGUACACACCGCCCGUCAAGCCAUGGGAGCCGGGGGUACCUGAAGUACGUAACCGCAAGGAGCGUCCUAGGGUAAAACUGGUGACUGGGGCU